GGGAGUCAGAGAUCAAUGAUACACUUCCCCUUAAAAUCGGGCUGUCUCAUGACUGAUCAUGUCAUCAUGUUCUCUGUUUAUCUUUCAAGUAUAUAAAGCCCAUGCUUUCCUCAGAAGUCAUAUUGUUUCCGACUUUGCACGCUUCUCACAAGCUUAUUCUUCUCAAACCACUCAAAACCCCAACCAAACUUCAACAUGUACGGACAAGAACGUAACGUCAUCGACAUCGUUGCCCUCAACGGCAAAGAACGCAACACCGUUGACAUCGUCGCCUUGAACGGCAAGGAACGCAACGUCGUUGACGUCAUCGCCCUCAACGGAAAGGAACGCAACGUCGUUGACAUCGUAUCCCUCAACGGAAAGGAACGCGUCGCCUUUGACGUCAUCACCCUCAACGGCAAGGAAAGGACUUCCUUCGACAUCAUCAACGUUUAAAGGACCACCGCCCCAAGUUCCAAACCUAGAUCCAGUCUCAAGUCAACAUGCGUCACAUGGCUUUGAACCUCUCUAAAACAUCUGAGGCUGGGCUCUAUCGGAUCAACGCUGCCUCUACCCCUUUCUCUCCCUCUCGCACUUACACUCACUCUCGCACGUUAAUAAGUCUCAUUUAAUUUUAAUCUUUCAAAUUUGAAUUAAGUCUCAUGGAUAUUGUAUCAAUAAUAAGAAUAAGGAAUAAAUUUGGUUAAGAAGAAGAAAAAA